rfam:Ovis aries breed Texel chromosome 3, whole genome shotgun sequence.
UCCCUUGUGGCUCGGCUGGUAAAGAAUCCACCUGCAAUGUGGGAGACCUGGGUUCAAUCCCUGGCUUGGGAA